AANUCAACUCUUACUUAACUUACACAUGCAAGUCUCCGCACACCCGUGAAAACGCCCUUCCACCCGCUCAGGAGAAAGGAGCUGAUAUCAGGCACAANNNNNCGCCCAAAACAUCUAGCCACGCCACACCCACAAGGGCCCUCAGCAGUGAUUAACAUUAAAAAUAAACGCCAGUUUGAUUUAGCUAAAUGAAAANUAGAGCCGGCCAAUCUGGUGCCAGCCGCCGCGGUUACACCANUGAGGCUCAAACUGAUUUUAAGACGGCGUAAAGCGUGAUUAAAGAACNCUAGNNNNNCCAUUGGGGUCAAACUUAAGUUUANCUGUCAUACGAUUAUUUUUAAGAAGNCCCUCUCUCGAAAGAUACCCCAAACCACCAACUUGAACUCACCACAACUAGAACACAAACUAGAAUUAGAUACUCUACUAUGUCUAGUCACAAACUUUAACUUACACCNNNCCANAUCGCCAGGGAACUACGAGCAAAGCUUAAAACCCAAAGGACUUGACGGUGCCCCACAUCCCCCUAGAGGAGCCUGUCCUACAACCGAUUCCCCCCGUUUUACCUCACCACUUUUAGUUUAUCAGCCUGUAUACUUCCGUCGUCAGCUUACCGCAUGAGCGAAUNNAAGUAAGCUCAAUAUCNACCCGCAAAUACGUCAGGUCAAAGUGCAGUUCAUAAGGUGGUAAGAGAUGGGCUACACUUUCUAAUUUAGAAGAUACGAAAGACUAUGUGAAAUAAUACUCAGAAGGUGGAUUUAGCAGUAAGGGAGGAAUAGAGUGCCUCCCCUAACUCGGCACUGGGGCGUGUACACACCGCCCGUCACCCUCUUCAANCAUUCACCCCAGUGUUUAACAACCACUNUAAUUUAAAGAAGAGGUAAGUCGUAACAUGGUAAGUAUACCGGAAGGUGUGCUNNGNAG
rnacentral:ncRNA from 1 species